rnacentral:rRNA from 1 species
AUAUUAAUAAGUGGAGGAAAAGAAGCUAACAAGAAUUUCCCUAGUAACGGCGAGUGAAGCGGAAAAAGCUCAAAUUUGUAAUCUCCUCGGAGAGUUGUAAUUUGUGGAAACGUUUUCGUCGGCGGUGCGCGUCAAAGUCCCUUGGAACAGGGCACCAUGGAGGGUGACAGUCCCGUUCGUGGCGCGUACUUGCCGGUAUACGAUACGUCUUCAAAGAGUCGGGUUGUUUGGGAAUGCAGCCCAAAGCUGGUGGUAUAUUCCAUCUAAGGCUAAAUAUUGGCAAGAGACCGAUAGCGCACAAGUA